rnacentral:rRNA from 1 species
GACGGAGGAUGCAAGCGUUAUCCGGAAUUAUUGGGCGUAAAGCGUCCGCAGGUGGCAGUUCAAGUCUGCUGUCAAAGACCGGGGCUUAACUUCGGAAAGGCAGUGGAAACUGAACAGCUAAAGUAUGGUAGGGGCAGAGGGAAUUCCUGGUGUAGCGGUGAAAUGCGUAGAUAUCAGGAAGAACAUCGGUGGCGAAGGCGCUCUGCUGGACCAUAACUGACACUCAGGGACGAAAGCUAGGGGAGCGAAUGGG